AUGACUCUGGGCUGCACCAUCCUCAUCUGGACACUGGCCUGCUGCUGCUUCACAGGAUGCAGUGGUCAGGUCACAGUCACUCAACCUCCAGUCCAGACAGUUACUGCAGGAUCCACAGUCACUCUCACAUGUAAAACUAACAAAGAUGUUCAUGUUAAUACUUACAUGUUCUGGUAUCAGCAGAAAACUGGUCAGACUCCAGACCUCUUGAUAAAAUAUGCAACACAACGUCUGUCAGAAACUCCAUCUCGGUUCAGUGGCAGUGGGAGUCACAGAGAUUUCUCUUUGACCAUCACUGGAGCUCAGGCUGAAGAUGCAGCAGUUUAUUACUGUCAGAGUUUACACAGCGCCCCAUGGCAGUUCACACAGUGA